rfam:Picea glauca, whole genome shotgun sequence.
GCAUGCUUACAACAUAGCAUUAAUGCACCAUAUUUCAUUAGAACUUCGUAGUUAAGCACGCUCAGGCUAAAAUAGUAUUGGGAUGGGUGAUCGCCCUGGAAGUCCUAGUGUUUUACAUGCU